rnacentral:lncRNA from 1 species
GGACUGGCUUCAGUAGAAGCAUUGCCAUUUUCCCACUGUUUGUAAAUACUUCAGUGGAGAAAUACAAAGAGAAGAUGUGAAUGCCGGGAGAAGACUAUAACAUUAAAGCAGAAAUUGAUUUAAAAAUCCAACUUAGCAGAGGCAAUUACAAAUUCAAAGACGGAGCCCAAAUCAGAUCGGGCAGAGAAAAUGUGUUUGCUGCAAGGAAGGAAGUGAGCUUAUAUAACACCAAUUUCAAGUUGAUUUUGGACACAAACUUACCAAAUUUGACAACUGUCCUUGCAAAGCAAGAACAUUUUCACUUUGAGUGGGAACAAUGAAUGCUUUGUGUGUUUAAAACGUCCUUUCUUUAGUAUGAUAGCCUUUUAAGCAUUGAAUAUUGCGUUACUAUCUUUGAAUUUUUAAAUGGUGUCUACUUGCUAUGUAUUUUCUGUGAAUAUUCUAUUCUUUUAAUGCUGCUGGAGCUCAAAUGUCCGUAUCAGGGGGAAAAUCAUUUGGUUUGUAAUAAAAUGAAGUUAUGCGUUUA